CUUUGAAACCACACAUGAUAGAAGGGCUUUAUAUUUGCAGCAGCACUACUAAAGUCGGCAGGAAUGUUGCUGCAGGAAAACAUCCCUGCAGAUCACCAUCAUUGUCAGACUGACUGUGCCUCCUCUGUGCAGUGUCAAGAUCCUCCCUAAAUGAGUGUUCCUCAGCUAUCCUGCUUCUGUGCUGCUUGCCACACAUCAAACACUGGCCGGAUGACAGGGAGGAUCCACUCUGAAGUCACUGGACAUGAUGAGGAUCAUAUGGGACUUUAUAGUUUCAAAGAAAUGUUGUGCUCUUUGAUUACAGGUUUUAAAUGGACAUAAUGACUGCCUCUCUCUGAU